rnacentral:rRNA from 1 species
AUUGAACGCUGGCGGCAGGCCUAACACAUGCAAGUCGAACGAGUGGCGGACGGGUGAGUAAUGUCUGGGAAACUGCCCGAUGGAGGGGGAUAACUACUGGAAACGGUAGCUAAUACCGCAUACCAUCGGAUGUGCCCAGAUGGGAGGAGCUGGUAGGUGGGGUAACGGCGCACCUAGGCGACGAUCCUUAGCUGGUCUGAGAGGAUGACCAGCCACACUGGAACUGAGACACGGUCCAGACUCCUACGGGAGGCAGCAGUGGGGAAUAUUGGACAAUGGGCGCAAGCCUGAUUCAGCCAUGCCGCGUGUGUGAAGAAGGCCUUCGGGUUGUAAAGUACUUUCAGCGGGGAGGCGUUACUAGCAGAAGAAGCACCGGCUAACUCCGUGCCAGCAGCCGCGGUAAUAC